GAGUUUGAUCGUGGCUCAGAUUGAACGCUGGCGGCAGGCCUAACACAUGCAAGUCGAGCGGUAGAGAGAAGCUUGCUUCUCUUGAGAGCGGCGGACGGGUGAGUAAUGCCUAGGAAUCUGCCUGGGUAGUGGGGGAUAACGCUCGGAAACGGACGCUAAUACCGCAUACGUCCUACGGGAGAAAGCAGGGGACCUUCGGGCCUUGCGCUAUCAGAUGAGCCUAGGUCGGAUUAGCUAGUUGGUGAGGUAAUGGCUCACCAAGGCGACGAUCCGUAACUGGUCUGAGAGGAUGAUCAGUCACACUGGAACUGAGACACGGUCCAGACUCCUACGGGAGGCAGCAGUGGGGAAUAUUGGACAAUGGGCGAAAGCCUGAUCCAGCCAUGCCGCGUGUGUGAAGAAGGUCUUCGGAUUGUAAAGCACUUUAAGUUGGGAGGAAGGGCAGUAAAUUAAUACUUUGCUGUUUGUACGUUACCGACAGAAUAAGACACCGGCUAACUCUGUGCCAGCACG
rnacentral:rRNA from 1 species